AUGAACAUGAGGGCUUUUGCUCAGUUUCUCGGCCUACUGCUGUUUUUGCUCCCAGGUGCCAGAUGUGACAUCCAGAUGACCCAUUCUCCAUCCUCCCUGUCUGCAUAUGUAGGAGACAGAAUCACAAUCACUUGCCAUGCCAGUCAAGACAUUAGCACUACAUUAUACUGGUAUCAGCAGAAACCAGGAAAAGCCCCUAAACUCCUGAUCUAUGGUGCUAACAAUUUGCAAUCAGGGCUCCCCUCCAGGUUCAGUGGCAGUGGAUCUGGGACAGAUUAUUCUCUCACCAUCAGCAGCCUGGAGUCUGAAGAUGUUGCAAUUUAUUACCGUCAACAAAUUUAUGGUACACCUCACACAUAA